UGGGGAAUAUUGCGCAAUGGGGGGAACCCUGACGCAGCCAUGCCGCGUGAAUGAAGAAGGCCUUCGGGUUGUAAAGUUCUUUCGGUAUUGAGGAAGGUUGAUGUGUUAAUAGCACAUCAAAUUGACGUUAAAUACAGAAGAAGCACCGGCUAACUCCGUGCCAGCAGCCGCGGUAAUACGGAGGGUGCGAGCGUUAAUCGGAAUAACUGGGCGUAAAGGGCACGCAGGCGGUUAUUUAAGUGAGGUGUGAAAGCCCCGGGCUUAACCUGGGAAUUGCAUUUCAGACUGGGUAACUAGAGUACUUUAGGGAGGGGUAGAAUUCCACGUGUGGCGGUGAAAUGCGUAGAGAUGUGGAGGAAUACCGAAGGCGAAGGCAGCCCCUUGGGAAUGUACUGACGCUCAUGUGCGAAAGCGUGGGGAGCAAACAGGAUUAGAUACCCUGGUAGUCCACGCUGUAAACGCUGUCGAUUUGGGGGUUGGGGUUUAACUCUGGCGCCCGUAGCUAACGUGAUAAAUCGACCGCCUGGGGAGUACGGCCGCAAGGUUA
rnacentral:rRNA from 1 species